rnacentral:rRNA from 1 species
UGAGGAAUUUUCCACAAUGGGCGAAAGCCUGAUGGAGCAAUACCGCGUGGAGGAAGAAGGUCUGUGGAUCGUAAACUCCUUUUCUCAGAGAAGAAGUUCUGACGGUAUCUGAGGAAUAAGCACUGGCUAACUAUGUGCCAGCAGCCGCGGUAAUACAUAGAGUGCAAGCGUUAUCCGGAAUAAUUGGGCGUAAAGCGUCUGUAGGUGGUUUAAAAAGUCUAAUGUCAAAUACGAUGGCUCAACCAACGGCAGGCAUUAGAGUACUAUUAAACUAGAGUUUGGUAGAGGUAGAGGGAAUCCCUAGCGUAACAGUGAAAUGUGUAGAUUUUAGGGAGAACACCAGCGGCGAAGGCGCUCUACUGGGCCAAUACUGACACUGAGAGACGAAAGCUAAGGGAGC